GAUGAACGCUAGCGGCAGGCCUAAUACAUGCAAGCCGAACGGCAAGUUUGAUAGCAAUAUUUGACCUAGAGUGGCGCAAGGGUACGUAACACGUAUGCAACCUGCCCGCGACAUGAGGAUAGCUCCCCGAAAGGGGAAUUAACCCUCCAUAACACCAUGAGAAGGCAUCUGAUUAUGGUUAAACCGCAAGUGGUCGCGGAUGGGCAUGCGGUUGAUUAGCUAGUUGGCGGGGUAAAGGCCCACCACGGCGGUGAUCAAUAGGGAUUCUGAGAGGAAGGACCCCGACACUGGGACUGGGAUAAGGGUCAGACUGCUACGGGAGGCGGCAGUAGGGAAUCUUGGACAGUGGUUGUGAGACUGAUCCAGCCAUGGCGCGUGGAGGAAGAAGGCCUUCUAGGUCGUAAACUGCUUUUUCCUGUGGAUAAAAUACCCGUGCGCGGGGAAUUGAAGGUAACAGGAGAAUAAGCCACGGCUAACUACGUG
rnacentral:rRNA from 1 species